rnacentral:misc_RNA from 1 species
CGUUCCCUUUUUCGCGUCUGUUUUUUUUUGGGGGGUGGGUUUGCGUGCUUCCCCUUAACACGACAUGGUGACUCUCUUCACGCGGCGCUCACUCGCGACCUGUAUUGUUUGCUUCGUGUUUUCUUCUUGUGUCGUUGUUUUGUCUGCUCCUGCUCGCUCACCCCUUCCCCUUUACCACCGCCACCAAUCACGAAACGGCGACGCAUCAACAGCUGUGCGUACAUCCGCCGUUGCGCCUCACUUGCUCCUUCGACCGCUAUCGUCCUUUCUGCCUUCACCCGCUUCUUCCAACUUCAUUUCUUUGGACGCUCUUGACCGUGCACCGGCAACUACGCCAACGCAUCCCCAAUGCACGCUAGCACCUAUCGCCUCCGCCUCUCGCACAUCCCGUAAUUGCCGGCAUCUGUCCCACAACAAUAGACGAGGAUGCCGAGCACGCGAUACGCGAGGGCCUCCGCCUCGCUCAGUCCCGCACAGACGUCUGUCCGUACCUUGGCUUACGGCGAUGGCGGGUGAGUAGCAGCGGCAGCAUGGCGUGCAGAUGGUGUGCAGCCUACCACUCCGCUAGUGUGGUGGAACCGCCACCCCUCCCCUGCCUGUGUUCGCUGUGAGGGCGGCAUACCAGGCGCUGUGCCCGGUAUGCUACGCGAGAUUCGCGGGUUGCUCGAAGCCCGAAGCGCAGCGCGCUUCGCGCUGUGGUCUUGCGCGCAGUGAUGCGGCUACGCGCACAUCUGCCUCGCGCUGCAUGCGCUUCCCCUGUCGCGUGUCUAUGGCUGCCCCCCCCUCCCCCCUGUGUGCCCCUUCACAACGGCAAGCCGUGAGCUCGCUGUGCGCAGACACACGCUUACGCGCGGGUUCAGGAGAGGGUGGAAUGCCCCCGCCGCCACAGACGCACAGCAGCGAGCCGCACGGACAGCAACGCCGUCCGGAAACAGGCCCCAGGGCCCGAAAAUGCGAGCGCUGUGUGCACCUGCGGUCAAGCACAGCACGCAUAGACGGUGUAUGACAUCCAAGAAGGCAUGCAGAGGUCAGAGGAGCACGAGUGAUGGACGGGAAAGGCGCGAAGAGACGCACACCGGUCAGCGCCACAGUGCAUGUGCGCGGCAUAUGCCGCAUCUCCUACAUCCGGCCGGGUGGGCUGAUGCGGCACGGACGCCGGCAGCAUGACGGGGGACACCCCGAGUUGCACCACCGACCCCACCAGGCCCCCAUGCGGAGAGUCUCCACACCACGUUACGGCGCGCAGCGGCCUGAGGCGAGUCAGGGCGAUGCACGGCACACAGGCCGGGUGCAGGGCCUCAGGGGGCCCUGGCCUGACUCUGGCCAACUUGCGGCUGGAGCUCAUCCGGCAUGCACCUGCAGUGCCCCUCCCCCUACCACCCGCACCACAGACGCCGCCGCCUCCGCCCUCGAGCAGGGCCGUGGACGCGGGCCGCUUCGGAUCGAUGGACGCCGUCCAGCCAAGCGCGUCCGCGCCGAUCGCGCAGCGCGCAUGCGUAGAAGAGACGAGGAAGGACGAGGGGAGCCCGCCAGACGCGUGCCCCCGACUCGACGGCAGAGCGGCUCGUCCUCGCGGACAGGAGCCUCGCCGUGGUGCAGCAGAGGCGGGUCAAGUGGUGUUGUUGUGUGCGUAUGCGUUUGUUGGCUUGCUUCUGGUAGAAUGGACACGCUGAAAAAAAAAGGAGAACCUGCCAUACUCCCUCUGCUGGCAGGGAGGCAUUGCAGUGCGUGGUAUCUCAGGGCCCAGUGCAUUCACAUUAUUCCACAGGGGGGGGGGUGGCCGAGCAGCCCCCUCCCGCUAUCCCCUUUCCUGCCAGCUGCAGAGCCGCUUCUGCUGGUGACAGGGCCAUCCCCCCUACGUCGUAGGGGGGGUCAGAGCGAUGCAUCGCUGUUGAUGUCGGCGGUCGAGGCCCUGGAUGGCGUUGCAUCGGAGCCACCUGCGACAGCGAACGCGUCUGUGCCAUCCGCCUGAUGGGCGAAGUGUCGGCGUGACUCGAGCGCAUAUCAGACGGUCCUCGCUGCCUACUGGUGUGGGGAGCGUGAGCCACCCCGAGGGUCGCACGAGGUGGUGACCGGCACCAUGGGCAUGGCUGUGAGGCGACCUGCGAGGAGGCUGGGGGGGGGAGGAGCUCGAGGCAGGGGCCGAGCUCAGAUGACUGGGUCGGCGCAUUGCUGUAGCGCGCGCCUGCGGCUUCUUCGCACCACGUGGGUGGGGCCUGCGGCUGGCCGGUGGUAGAGUGUGAAGUUUGACCGGUCGGCGCAUGGCAGAGAAAAGGACACAUCGAAGCAAAGCAAGAAUCCUGACCCAGCGGCCCAAUUCAGCGCGUAGACAUCUGCUCAUGCGACGUGAAUCCGGUUCUUCUUCUCCCCCGUCUUAUGUUUUGUGCAUGCAUGUUUGUGUGUGCCGCCGCCCCCCCCACCUCCCCCACACACCCCUCCCGGCGUUAUAG